GGUAGCAAUAUGAUAUUUUAUGGGGUUUCAUAUAGCAAAGGAAAACCCUAUUCCUACCACUUCUUUAAUCAGUACAUAUACUCUUUUCAUUUAACGUCUAUAAUUAAAUACCACUUAUACUUUUAUUUCAGAUUUCCAACUGAGAGGUCAAGAUUACAUCAUUUGAAGAGGAAAUUCUAUGAGAAAUGUAGAAUCCCAAACGUAAUCGGAGCAGUAGAUGGAACCCUCAUCCCUAUUCAGGGUCCAACACAGGAUGAGGCAGCUUAUGUCUGCUGAAAAGGGUUCCAUGCUCUUAAUGUUCAGGCAGUAGUCGAUGCUGAAAUGAGAUUCACAGAUGUUGUUUCAAGGUGGCCUGGUUCACAGCAUGAUGCGGCCAUUUUCAAUGCUUGUGGGUUAAAGACACAUUUAGAACAAAGUAAUAAUGGGUUGUUAUUAGGGGAUAGUGGGUACCCUCUAAGGAGGUAUCUCUUGACCCCAAAGGUGAAUCCGACAACACCACAGAGGAAGCCUUCAAUAAACACCAUAGCAGAGGCAGAAUGUUGGUAGAAAAAGCCUUUGGUAUACUGAAGUCAAGUUUCAGAUGCCUACACAAAAGUGGUGGUGUUCUACCGUUUUCACCAGAAAAGAGCAGCCAAGUUGUGGUAGCAUGUAUGAGGCUACAUAACUUUUGUAAAACUAUAGGAGUACAAGAGCCUGUGGAGAUCAUCACACAGGAUGAUGAUGAUGAUGAUGAUGAUGAUGAUGAUGAUAAUAAUUUACCAAAUGGAGAUGACAGAAGUUAUAAUAACAUUAGACAGGAAUUAAUUAAUUUAUUCUGAAAAAAUGUUUUUAAGACAUAGAAAUUAAAAGCACCUAUGUAUUACUUAAAAGAAUUACUUUCUAUUUCACAUAAACCAAAAUUAGCACAGUACAGUAGUUAACUUAUUGUCAGAGUCAAUGUUACCUUUGAUAAGAAAAAAUUAUAUUUGUAAUGAAUAAUAAAAAUUAAAGGGGUUAAGUAGUAAUAUUAAAUAAUAUAAGUAAACUAUACAAGUGAAAGCUAUUCAGUUAAUCUGUUGAAUAUUAAUUUGUGAUUUCAUGAAAUACAUUAAUUCAUUGAAUCAUUGUGAAAAAUAACUACUAAAAAUAUAGCUUUCAGAAAUAUCCCCUUGUCUUACAACUAUAAAUAUUAAUAAUUCAAAUACUGCACAUUUUUUAACAUAAUUUUUCAUUGGAAUACAAUGAUGUUUAAAUUCAUGAUUGAAGAUUUUUUUUCCCUCUAAAAAUGUUGUUUGCUGUAUUAUGACUUUGUUACAAAAGAUUUCUGAUAAGUUAUAUGGCCAUUUAAAAGAAUUUGUUUGCAAAUUAUAACCCUCACCUUGU